rnacentral:rRNA from 1 species
UAUCAAAAACAUGUCUUAUUGAUUUUUAUAUUAAGUCAGGCCUGCCCAAUGAUAGGUGAUUAAAUGGCUGCAGUAAUUUAACUGUACAAAGGUAGCAUAAUAAUUAGUUUUUUAAUUGAGGACUAGAAUGAAUGGUUUUAUGAGGUAUUUACUUUAUUAUAUUAAUAAAUAUAAUUUUAUGUUUUAGUUAAAAAGCUAAAAUUUAUAUAUUAGACGAGAAGACCCUAUAGAUUUUAAUAAUUAUAAAUAUAUGAUAUGUUAAGAAUUAAUAGUUAAUAUGUUUAAAUUUAUUUUAUUGGGGUGAUAGUAAAAUUUAAUAAACUUUUAUGUUUUUUAUACAUUAAUUUAUGAUGUUUUGAUCCAUUUUUAAUGAUUGUUAGAUUAAAUUACCUUAGGGAUAACAGCAUAAUUUAUUUGGAAAGUUCAUAUUGAUAAGUAAGAUUAUGACCUCGAUGUUGGAUUAAGAUAAAUUUUAGGAGCACAAAUUUAAUUAUUAAGUCUGUUCGACU